UUUUUUCCUUUUCCCAGGUCUGGAUUUUUCCUGUUCUGUGCAGAAGAAAGGCCCAGCAUAAAGGCUCAGAACCCCGGUCUGGGCAUUGGAGAUAUAGCCAAGAAGCUGGGAGAGAUGUGGAACAAUCUGUCUGAUUCUGAGAAGCAGCCCUUCCUGUCCAAGGCCAACAAACUGAAGGACAAGUAUCAGAAGGACAUGGCUGACUACAGAGGAAAGGGGAAAGGAAGCGGAGGGGCAUCAUCUGCCAAAUCCAAACCCAAGGAUGACGAUGAUGAUGAUGACGACGAUGAGGAGGAGGAUGAAGAAGAGGAAGAUGAGGAUGACUAAAGAACUCGUUUGUCCUAAUUGGGCAGCAAGUUAUUUGUUCGCUGCCAAUUAGUAUCAGUUAAGUCUGGGUCUAAGAGGUCUUGAUGUCAAGGCUGCUAUAAACUGAUCACCAGUAGAGAUGCCCAAUGCAUGCAAGCUCUGACUUUAGACAACCAAACUUUCUCAGUGCUGGGUUUGCUGGUGGUCCAGUUACAGCUUGCUAUUAAACUGCAUUGGCAAAAACAAAAUAUUUCCACACCGUUCAACAAUAAACAAAGUGGUAGCAGUACAUACUCUUUUAAAACUAUUUAAGGUGGUGUGUUUCUGUGUGGCUGUUGACGUAGUUAUUUUUUAUUUUUUUUUUCUACUCUUCCCAGCUUUCAAAAUGCACAAUUUGUUGCUAUAUUUAAAGUUCAGUUUCGUUCGGCCCCAUAAGCUUCCUGCAUUGUUGAAAGGAUGUUUGUGAAUUGUGGUUAUAUUAUUAUUUGUGUAAUUUUGACUGAUUACAUUGAUAAUUUUAUGUGUGGAGAGUCUAGGGACAUUUUCAGCUUUAACCAGAGGCAAGUGAUGAAAUGUUAAGCUGGGGAAAGCUCUUAUUUGCACCUUCAGUUUUUUUUUUUUUUUUUAUGUCUAGGUGACACUGUGAUUUGAAAUAAACAUGGCAUUUUUAGAUCUCAAA